UACCUCCGGCGCCGCCGCCGCCGGAGGCUGCUUUGGGAUCGGCGACAGAAGCGGGUCGAGUUCGGGGUGUGUUAGCGGGAGGAGCUGCAGGAGGCGUCGGCGAGGGGGCGGAGGUUAAGGCGGCGGCGGAGGAGGGAGGCGCGGUACCGGCGGAAGGAGGCGAGGCAGGGACGGGGGCGGAACGUCGGGACGAAGCUGAUAUGCCGCAAAGGUAACGAGUACGAGGAUCUACGUCGCCACGUCACGUCCUUCCUUCCGUUCCGUCGUCCCGUCCCACAGCCCCUCGAGCUGUAGUGCCUACGGUAGCGGCUUCCACCCGAGCGAACGGAACUCAACGAGGAGUGGUUCACGGCGGAGUGGAGCGAGUUAGUCUACCAGCGCAACGACUUUUUCAACUGUAGACCCCGUUAUGAGAGUGGAUGCCUCCGAAGACUUCUUAAGGCGGAUCCGUAACAUUCUACGAAGUCUCGGUACUAAGACGUCGACGUUAGUACGAGCCUAUUCAGGACAAGCACAUUAGUUCGUUGACAUAAUGGAUGCUGGGGUUAGUAAGAUUCAAGCCUUUAACCAUCACACCAAGUAGGUUUCGUAAGACGUUUUGGUCUCCUCACGAACGAACGUAAGGAGGCUAGCCUUUUACGAAGUGGACGACAGCCUGUAACCGAAAGUGAAGAAGAUGUCAGUAGUCUCAAACUCCGUAGUUCUCCUGUGGCACCGUCGCGUCCACAAUCUUUCCUUAGUAACGAGCGUAACGCGCAAGAAUAACGGUUCCAUCCAAGACGACUACGUGAACGGAAAAAGGAAGGACCAUAGCAGUCAGCAGAACCUUUCGAAGAGAUGUGUAGAUUCUGUUACUAAUCGCCACGACGACCCUCACGAAACUCGUAACUCGUUCGGUAAGAACCUAACUGACUCCGAAACUACUAUCAGGAUACACUGUUCCUUUUAAAGUCACGUGAACUAUAAGGAUCACUGUCAUCAAGACGGGUUACAAGACCACCGUCACCAAGAUCACUGGUACAUAACGUCUUCGAAGCGGUCAACGGUUGGUUUUGCAAAAGACUUGUCUGUCCGUUAAGACUUUGAUGUCUUCUGUGAUGGAGACUAUAGUCAUUAUUGAGACGACUAUCUUCUCGUGACGUACAUUUUGCGUGUUCUUUUACCGAGUUCCUUUGUCGUUGAUUACAACCGUUUAACAAAUGUCUCUGUAAAGGUGUAGAAAGACAAGUGAGUAGACUCUUUCAUUCCUCCAGCCACCAAUAACCACAUUCCCCCGACAACAGAUCAACGUCGGAGUGUAAUUACUCUUCGUUCUACAAUGAACACCUCACGAAUACACAAGAUCGUACACUACUACGCCGUUGACACAGACUCCGACGUGUUCUAAGAGAACUAAUAGAAAAGUACUUCCCAGUUGUAAAAGAUAGUCCUUUACUCCAAAGACUAUAUAAAUGGUCCAACGAACUUUUCAAUGGCGUUCACCAUGAACCUUCGCUCCUCUAGUGACGGGAAAGAGUACGGUCCUUUGACAACCGAGAUUGAAAGAUACGGCCGGGAGUCAAAGACUACUUAGUGGAAGUAGCGAGAGGACAACAACGACGAGCGAAGAAGCUAACAAACCCAAAUACGUAAUCAGUAUCGAGUGUCAAAAGACCAAGGUACCUGUUCGACUAACAUAGUUUCGGUGAUAGACAACCUAUAGACAUAAGUCAACGACUCAAUUUCUUACCUCGGAUACAAUUACUAUGUUCAGUGUCAAGAGUGAGAGUCAUACGUUGCAGAAGUAGACGUCCGGGUUUUUAUAGACAAUAACCCCUGUUACCAAACGGUUUACGUUAUUUACCAUGUCAACUUAUACUCGAGGGGGUACAUGGAAGUACCAAACAAGUACGUUCAUCGGUCUCCGAUAUGAGGCGAGACCGUCCUUAGUAUUCCGACCAACCAGAAAGUUGUCAAAGUCCCGUUCCUUGGUCACGUAGAAAUAGACAAAAACAACUAUAAGAUGAGUUAGUCAAGGCCUCCAAUUCGUGACUCGACGCGCGACUUCUGUGAGUGUCUAUACCACACGUCUCCACCAUGUACUUCUCACUAAGACCUGUUUUUGACGCGGUCCGUUCGAGACGACAAACGUACGAGUUACUCGAGUAUAUACCAGACAGUCUAGUCAGAGAGAGACACACAAACGUUAAUAAGUUGUUCUCAAGUCGUGUUCACCAUUCCCAUGGACCAGUUUUACUGGUGAAUUGAAGUUCACCAGAUGUAUCGCCUCAUUCUCUUCAAACCUUCUAUUCACUCGCUUACCUGUGACUUCUGCUAUAAUAAGUGACAUAACCAUCAUAUGAUGUACUCAUAUACAGAGGCCUUCACACCCUAGAAGGUUGUCUUGUCUUGAGACUCGAUACGGAUCGUCUUGAAUUACAAGGUUACGUAAAGAAGGCACUAUGUUGACGUGAUGUUGUUCAUUACGAACUGCCCUAACCCCAGAAACCAUAAUAAGAAGUAGUUCUAAAACGUGUCUCACCCAAAUACGUGAGAAGUGAAAUAGAAGAUGAGGCCUUUGAAUAGUCGAGUUCACGCGUUUAAUCUUAACGCAGUCUACGACAGAAUUCUUGUGAACGACGGCGACCACCAAUGAGAUGCCAACCGGUUAAGCAACACCGUUUACGUCUAAUGUAACAACUGAGAGAAACGUCUGUUAACGCGGUAGAUCUGGAGUUGGGGGUGCAGGGACUAUAAGAGCGAAGGUACGACACAAUGUAACCACGAAGAGCACUGUAAAAUGGUAAAAACCUUCUUGGCUACGCCCGUCAAAGAAGUCUCGACCUCCAAGAACCAUCCGUACUAGUAGGGGUAGAUUGACAAGGUAAAGACUUCCGUCAGAAACUCUAGCGGUUCCGUACAUGAGUACUCAGAUAAUCGAAUGGUCUACUCCACGUUAGUAAAAGACACUUCCAGUCUAGUCUCGUAGUUCGUCAGCUUUCAAACUAUCUCUUCUCUUCUCUUUGGUCGCAUUACGGACCAUGUUACCUACAACUACGGGUCGGACUAAAAGACUCGAACCUUAUAACCCUCCUAAAUGAAACGUUAGAUUUACUAUACUCUUUUAUGUCCUCUUAUCAACGUAGAGAACGACCCAGAACGAAUAGUCGACGGUGGGGUGAAGAGAGGAGUUGGUUCCUUCGUCGUACGGAACACCGGGAUCUGUAGCACCUCUUACGACAACAUAGAUAACGGUUCCAACUCCUACGUAUAUUCACACUUUUACUUUGGUUUCGACAAUAGUUCCUCCGUCAGGUCGUUAACAGGAACCUACUUGAAGAACUACUAUACCUGUGACGACUUCUACAACUGCUCUUAUCUGAUGAGGGUCGAUACUUGUUUGAUACCGGUAUGGACCAAUAGACAGAAUUCUUGUUCUAGAGUUACGGAUAACAGUCUUCUACGUGUGUUCAAAAUCCGUCUUGGUAAGUUUAUAGACCACCAUUAAAAAAACAUGCGGCCAAAGUAUUCCUACCUAUAUAAUAAACCUCCAACGACCGGAACAGAGGUAAGGCUGCCUUUUGUGACAGUAGCUACCUACUUUUUCGUUAAUAAAAUGGUAUAUCCUUAUGGAGUGAAUGGAGUCUCCUUGGAUACCGACUCUAUAGGUCGGUUUUCUAAGUCUAACGUCAGAACCUGUACUAGUGACUUUAUAGAAGGGUGUUUUCCUCACGAUAACGUAACCUUUCACACAACUUCUUCUAGACACCGGAACACCAUCCCUAACGAAUAUCACCAAACUAUCCAGACGCUCUUCGACGAUACUCCCGUAACUGACCUGAACGGACAUACCUACUACUGGAGCACACCGAAGAAGACCGUCUACACAUAGUAAGUGACUUGGUUUCCCUAUACGGGAACGGUGGAUAAGUUCUAGACCACCUCAAUACACUAGAAAACGGGGGAGGUUACAGGAGUUCUCUCAUGGAGAAACACGUCAUACCACCACUCCCACAAUCUAUACUAUAUCUAGGAAGUAGACACGUACUCCACAAGUUUUCCUACGUCCUGUGUCAAAAGUUUACUAUCGUCCGUUUGGUGUUUCGAAACAGUCAACCUAAGAACAGAACACGACAACCGCGUAAAUAUAUAAACUUUCCAGACGGUACAUAGGAUCCACACAACUUAGGUACCACGCAAUAGAUGCGUAACCUCUCCUGUAACACAGAGUGAGAGUACGACUCUUUGGUACAACUACUUCUCACUUGAGUUGAUGUUCCUUUGAAAGUACAACACAUUCGUCUGCUUUUUACACUAGGCUCAAUCCACACGCUACACCCGACGGCAAAAACAUAGAAGUUCAGUUGGCUAUUUUACCUCCGUUGGUGAACGCUGAAUCUUAACAACAUGGUAUUGUUGUCAUGUUCCGCUGCGGUAAAAGCAGGUGUCAAAAAAAGUGUCCCUUUACGGAGACAUUAAUACAACAGAUGAUCUCUCUUUUCCACCUCUAAUGUCCGAAGACAAAAAAAAUCUUACAAGAGAUCCUCUACCAAUAUAGACGGACUAUGUGUAGAAUAAACGACUCUUCGCAACACAACGACGGUAUAAGGGUCAAGACGUAAACUUCGGACUGUCCACAGUCAAUUACAUCUACACGACGGUAAAAGGGUCAAGACAUAAACUUCGCACUGUCCAGAGUCAACAAUUACAUCUACAUGGAAUUCGUUCGAGAGUAUGCCUUCCUUGUCAACUAGCGAAAUCAAACUAAGGG
rnacentral:rRNA from 1 species